CAAAAUCGGUUUGUAUUGAGUAAAGUUUGUAAUUGUAUGUACUUAUAAAAAAAGUAUUGAAUAAAGAAGAGAUAUGUAACUUCUUAUCAGAAGCUAAAGAUAAUAUCUACGUAGUAACAGAGGUUGUAUAUCAUUGGUUUGGCAGGCGCUUGUCGUCGUGAAGAGUUGUGCAACAUAAAUUUGAAUAAUGUAGAAGAUAAAAAAUACCUAUGUUAGUAAUUAAAAUUCCCAAUUUUAGAACUAAUAUAGAAAGAACUUUUGGCGUCAUUGGAGAAAAUAAUAUUUCUUUAUACAGGAAAUAUUUUUGCCAAUAAAUCCAAUAACACAUCGUA
rnacentral:lncRNA from 1 species